ACGAACGCUGGCGGCAGGCUUAACACAUGCAAGUCGAACGCUGUAGCAAUACAGAGUGGCGCACGGGUGAGUAAUACAUGGGAACGUGCCCUAGAGUACGGAAUAACGUCGGGAAACUGACGCUAAUACCGUAUAUUCCCUCCGGGGGAAAGAUUUAUCGCUCUAGGAUCGGCCCAUGCCAGAUUAGGUAGUUGGUGGGGUAAUGGCCUACCAAGCCUACGAUCUGUAGCUGGUCUGAGAGGACGACCAGCCACACUGGAACUGAGACACGGUCCAGACUCCUACGGGAGGCAGCAGUGGGGAAUAUUGGACAAUGGGGGAAACCCUGAUCCAGCCAUGCCGCGUGAGUGAUGAAGGCCUUAGGGUUGUAAAGCUCUUUUGUCAGGGAAGAUGAUGACGGUACCUGAAGAAUAAGCACCGGCUAACUUCGU
rnacentral:rRNA from 1 species